UACGUAGGGGGCAAGCGUUGUCCGGAAUCAUUGGGCGUAAAGAGCGUGUAGGCGGCCAGAUAAGUCCGCUGUGAAAUCUCGAGGCUCAACUUCGAGCUGUCGGUGGAAACCAUCUGGCUAGAGUCCGGAAGAGGAGAGUGGAAUUCCUGGUGUAGCGGUGAAAUGCGCAGAUAUCAGGAAGAACACCCGUGGCUAAGGCGGCUCUCUAGUACGGUACUGACGCUGAGACGCGAAAGCGUGGGGAGCGAACAGG
rnacentral:rRNA from 1 species